rnacentral:rRNA from 1 species
AUUGAACGCUGGCGGCAUGCCUUACACAUGCAAGUCGAACGGCAGCACGGGAGCAAUCCUGGUGGCGAGUGGCGAACGGGUGAGUAAUAUAUCGGAACGUGCCCGGUCGUGGGGGAUAACGUAGCGAAAGCUACGCUAAUACCGCAUACGAUCUACGGAUGAAAGCGGGGGAUCGCAAGACCUCGCGCGAUUGGAGCGGCCGAUAUCAGAUUAGGUAGUUGGUGAGGUAAAGGCUCACCAAGCCGACGAUCUGUAGCUGGUCUGAGAGGACGACCAGCCACACUGGGACUGAGACACGGCCCAGACUCCUACGGGAGGCAGCAGUGGGAAUUUGGACAAUGGGCGCAAGCCUGAUCCAGCAAUGCCGCGUGCAGGAUGAA